rnacentral:lncRNA from 1 species
AGGUCUACUUGGUGAUUGCAGGAGUGACUGGCUGAAGGAGAGCGGAGUUCAAGAUCCUCAGAGGACGAGGAGCGUUCAGGGAACUGAAUGGCCAGGCUGUUGGUAGGACUGUCUACACAUCUGUCGACAAUUCAAAGAACUAACAGAGGAGAACUUUUGAAGAGAAUGACAGUAAGCAGGAAUUACUAACAGUUAUUACAACCAAUGCGGACUUUAAAAUCCUACCUGGACAUCGAGUCAGAACCGGAAAAAGGGUAGACAGCAAAUUAACCAUGGAUUAAGCAGACAGGAGGCCAAUAAAUCCAUGGUCACUUGUGUUUCCACCAGACAAUGCCUACUGGGAGGGUAAGAAGUGGUCCUCACAGGCAGGGUCUCUUCCUCAGAGCAACAGGAUACAGAGGCUGCCAAGAGCUCCCAACCAAAAACAUGAAAGGAGGAAAGAACAAAAAGCAUCCAAAAGGAAAGAAAAGGAAAUCUGAACACAAGCUGGCUGUCCUACAAUUUAACUCAACUCUAACACUAUCUAUCUGGAACUAGUGUCAAAUCCAACAGGUUAAAGACUCAGUCCCACAAGACUGCUUCUC